rnacentral:rRNA from 1 species
CACGUAGGGCGCGAGCGUUGUCCGGAAUUAUUGGGCGUAAAGAGCUCGUAGGCGGCCUGUUGCGUCCGCUGUGAAAGCCCGGGGCUUAACCCCGGGUCGGCAGUGGAUACGGGCAGGCUAGAGGUAGGUAGGGGAGAAUGGAAUUCCCGGUGUAGCGGUGAAAUGCGCAGAUAUCGGGAGGAACACCAGAGGCGAAGGCGGCGACCUGGACAGCGACUGACACUCAACUGCGAAAGCGUGGGGAGCAAACAGG